rnacentral:lncRNA from 1 species
AACAAUAAAAAUGACUUUCUUCUUUCCAAAAGCGGUAAAAAAGAAAAAAAUUUCAAAGAAAUCGGUUCACCGUUAGCCCACCGCACACACCAAUUUUUCCCUUCUGAGUUUAGGGCUUAACUCGAUCGGUCUGACUUCGAUUCCCCUCGACGACUCAUCGUCUAAUCUCAAUCACUCGGUAAAAGAAAUCAACCACCACGAAAAUAAUCUCGAACAACAGCUGAAUAACCUCAAUUUAAAGAAGAGAAAGGAGAAAAGAAAAAAGAAGAGAAAGAAGAGAGAAGGAGAAAAGAAAAAAGGAAAGCGCCGGCACCACCGCAACGUCGGGAAAGGGAAAUGACAGCGCAAGUUAGGGUUACGCUUGGAGUCGAGAGAAGGAGAAGAAAAAAAAGAAAAAGAAGGAAAAAAAGAAAGAAAAAGAAAAAUAUAAAAUAAAAACAGUCGGGUCCGACCCGACUCGCACCACCGACUCGACCCAACCCGGUACCAGCUGGCCCAGCAAACAGCAGCAGCCCAACAGCAACAGCCCAACAACAAUAGCCCAACAACAGACCCACUCCAGCUGUAGCCCAAUCCAGUCAGCCCAACAGCAGUAGCCCUACCCAACAACCCAGCAGCAGGCCAGCAACCCAGCACAACAGUAGGCCAGUCUCAGCGGCCCAAUCUGCACAGCCCCCCCCC